UUUGGUCUCUGUUUGUUUUGUUUGUUUACUUUGAUACAGGAAGUAUAUAUAAUGGAGUCCAGUUAUGUCAGUAGACCUGGUGAUGUCACCAGUGAGCAAGGUUUUCAUAACUAGAUUGUAUAUGUUAUUAAUAAUAUUUACUGUAUAUUUGGACUUAAUAGACCUUUUUUGGAAGAAAGGGUUAAUAGAAUUAGAUCAAAUAAAAAAUUUAGCUGAGAGAGAGAGGGAGAGAGUCCAAAAAUAAACCAUAAAGAAGAGAGGUAACAUGAUGGUCAAACAUGACUGUGGUUGGCUACACCAGAGUAUCACUGAAGAACUACAAUAUCAUGACAUUAAGUGAGAAAACAACAUAUGGCUGUGCAACAGAACACCUCUGGAGAUUUUAUACUUCUCCAACAGCAGAUAGGAUUUUAUGUUGUGUUAAUUCUUAUUCAUUGUUUUAACCCUACAAGUAUCAAGGUAUGAGCCUAAUGCAUUAUGUUUUAUUCUGUAACAUCUGCACCUCAUGGAUGGUAUUCAUGGAAAAUAAAAAUUUCCU